GCUCCUGUAGCUCAACGGAUAGAGCAAGCCCCUUCUAAGGGUUAGAUGAAGGUUCAAUUCCUCCCAGGAGCG
rnacentral:tRNA from 1 species